AACUUUUUCUUUCGAGAAUCAUCAAAAGUUUCGCGGAAUAAUCUCGUUUCGAAGCAAAGGUAAAGAGUUUUGCUUGAGAAAGACUACAAUGGAAGAAAAGUUCAAGCCAACCGAAGUUUUGGUUCUAGCCAAUCAAAAUAUUGGAAGCUACAACCUUUCCCACAGAGUUUGAUCUAUCAAAAACACCAUGGCAGGUUUGUAUAUAAAUCUAGAACUUGGGAGCUACAUCGUCGUCUUGGGCGCUAGAAGCAAGCGUCUAGCAAACAACAGCAACACAAGGCCGCCAAACUGGAAGAAAAAAAAAGGAUCAAACAAAGAAAAAAUGCAAAAAAAAAAAAGGGAAGAGCUUCGAGCGAAGCGAGGCUCCAGAAACUAUAAAUUUACCAUCCCUCGAUGAACGAUGGGCCUUUGUUGUUUUGAUGAUACUGCUCCUGGUUAUAUCCCGGCUGUUGGACUGGAUAGCCCGCUGGAGGAUAGCCUUGCGGAGGAUAUCCCUGGGGAGGAUAGCCUUGCGGAGGAUAGCCCUGGGCGGGAUACGCUUCAUACCCUGCCAAAACACCCCAGAUCUCUCAGAUAUCCAGGAUUUCUCCGCGAUCAGGGUAAAAUCGUCGCAAAGAUCUCGCGAUUUCUCGCGGCGCUUACCUUGAGCAUAGCCUUGCGGCGGCGGCGCUUGCACUGGCGGCUUCUGAUCGUAGUAGCUCAUCCUCUCCUCCGCCAAGAAAUCGAAUCGAUCGAAAGCAAAACGAACGAGUAAGUGGUGCGUGUACCCGUUAUAAAAGGGGCCAAAAACGCGGAAUGGCUAUUCCUAGGCUUGACGGACGGUCGAGAUUCGCGGAGGCCACUAAUCGACGGCUUCCCGGAAGCUGGCCUUAAGACUGGGGUUUAUGGGGUUUAGGGCUGACGAUGCCCCUGUUUUUUAGGGUUCUUGAGGAUGAGGAAGCUCUGGCGAUGGCGACGCGCCGGCUUGCGCCAGGUUCGUGCUCGAUUUGUCGCGGAUUUUGAUUGAUUCUCGUGGUUUCAGGGAGAAUGCCGUGGCGCGGGUUGUUUGUUUCGAGCAUAUCGACGCAAUGCGGGUCUUCCAGUGAUUUGUUCGAUGUCUCGGCAUUGCUGCGGCUAGGAGGAGCAAAGGCGGCGCUGGAUUAUCUCGAUUCCAGGCAAGGUCGAGAUGGUUUCUUGGAUUCUUCCACGCUCGCGAGGUUGCUGCUGGAUUGUGGAAGAUCCAGCGCUCUCGCGGAGGGCCGGCGCGUCCACGAGUACGUUGUGAGAUCCAGGUUUGUCCGCGACGCGUUCCUUGGCAAUCACCUCGUCCAUAUGUAUCUCAAGUGCCAGAGCUUCGACGAGGCCGAGAGGGUUUUCCAGAGCGCUGCUUGUGAGAGCUUUGAUGUUGCAACGUGGACAGCAGUGAUCGUCGCUAGAGCGGGGCUCGGGAAAUGGAAGUUGGUGUUUGGUCAGCUGGAUGAGAUGGAUCGGAGAGGGAUUCCACCGGACAGGGUCAUGAUCAAGACGUUGCUCACUGCUUGUACCAAGCUCGGUGCUCUGGAAGAAGGGAAACUUAUCCAGGAUCGUCUAGCAGGAACCCAGCUCGAGCUCGAUAUUGGUGUGCGCAACCUCACGAUCAACAUGUACGUGAAGUGUGGUUGCCUAGAUGGAGCAGUGCAAACUUUCGCGAGGAUGAAGCGACGGGAUGUGGUCUCCUGGACUGUGAUGAUCGGAGCUUACUCACAGGAUGGGAAGUUCAGCCUCUCGCUCCAGCUCUUCCGGGAAAUGCUGCUCGAAGGGACUGCUCCAAACAGUGUCACCUUUGUCAGUAUCUUGAGCGGCUGCGAAGCACCAUCUUUACUCGAGCAAGGGAGGCAGAUUCACGCUCUAGUGGUGGAGAGCAGUCUCGAGUCACACGUCGUUGUAGCGAAUUCUCUGCUGGGGAUGUAUAGCAGAUGCCGCAGCUGGGAGGAUUCGAGAAGUUUGUUCGACAGAAUGAGCGUCCGAGACUCGGUUUCAUGGUCGACGAUCAUCAUGGCCUACGAGGAGUUUACCGGAGUUACACGAACUACGGGAAUAUUCCGAGAAUAUUCCAUGGCCUAGCUCUCCUGUUCGCUUCAUCGGUGAUGGCGGGUGAGUAAGAUAUUGAUCUUCAUGAGGAGUAUGGUGUUAGUGAUAAUGGCCAUGAUGAUGUGGAAGAGACUCUUAAUGAUGUCAUUGUGUGUUAGAUUUCUGAGGUUCAGAGCGACGUAACAAGUUCGUGAUUACCAUUGGUAUGUCAAGUAUGCCAAGGAUUAUAGUAUCGUGGAAUGGAAAUCAUCACCGGAUGUUUGUAAUAGUCAAUAGGUUGAUUCUUGGUUAGAAUUGUGAGAAAGUUGUUAGUCUCACAAUCCUUGUGAGGAUAAGGUGAAGAUAGAUUUCUUUGUGAUGAAGUUUACGGGCUAUGCUUAUUCGUGGUGAAAGAACUACAUUAAAGUUAAUUCGAAGCCGACUUCUUAGACUGAUUUGACAAAGGUUUUCUACACUUCGUUUGUCAAAAAGUUUGAAGAAGUUAAUCUCGUGAACUAGCUAUUAAAAAUUUAACAAAGGACUUUGUCUUUGAAUGCAUAUGCCCGCAAGUUCUAUGAUCUUUGCCUUAAUCUCAUGGGCACCUAUAAUGAGCUGUUAAAAGUGCAAUGUUUCAUCAAAAAAUUGAGCUUAGUGGAUAUGUAGCAAAAGGUCAAAAAGGAUUUUCCUACAACAUUGACUGAUGCAAUCACUAGGGCUCAGAUCUUUUCACCCAAACUGUCAGUCAACUUAGUCAACUCUAGUCAACAGGAUGGUCUAUGGGGAGGUCAACGUGAUAACCAAACCACCAAUACUUCAUCUUUAGAGAAGAAAUUCCUAUUAUUCUAUCAUAGCUUGAAGAGUGGAGAUGGUAAUGAGGCCAAAAGACAUUGUUUGGACUAAUGAGAGAAGGAUAAAGCAGAGGGCAAUUAUUUUCAUUGCCAUAGGGCUGAACAUUAGAGCAAAAAUUGUUCUGAAAGGGUCAAUGAAUGAAUGAAUGGCAACAUUAUCUAUAUGGAUCAGACUUCCAUGUGGAUUUAGAUCAUCAAUCUCUCUAAUAUUUCAGUCGACAAAAGGAUCUUCGAGACCGCCUUGCUCAUUGGCAAGAGUUCCUAUAGGAAAUGUUUGUUAAAAUCCAGUACAAGUAUAGAGGUGACAAUAAGGUGGCUGAUGUAUUAUCCAGGAUGGUAAAUUCUAUCUUGUUCAUAAAGUUAUCCAGCGAUCUCUUAGAUGAGCUUAAGGAGUUUGCUGACUUCGACUCCUUUAUCACUAAUAUUUGCGCGAAGGUUUUGUUGAGGGACGCCUCUACAAAUUUGAAGGGUAACAAGUUUGCAUCAUUCGAAAUACGAGAUGGAAUUCUAGUGAAGAAGGGACAUGUAGUGGUUUCUCGUGUUAACAAACUCAUCAAACAAAUUUUGGUUGAGUGUUAUGAUGUGCCAAGUGUUGGGCAUUCGGGGGUAUUGAGAAAGUAUAUUUUGGUGAAGAGGCAUUUCUUUUGGCCUGGGAAAGUCAGAUGUUGAGAAAUACAUACAUGGUUGUUUGACUUGCCAAGCAAUCAAAAAUUAAUCAUCAAAAGCUCGCUGGCCUCUAUCAUCCUUUACGUGUACCCGAGAAUAAAUGGGAUAGCAUCUCAAUGGACUUUAUCAUUGUUUUGCCCAAAACCUUUCAAAGAAAUGAUGCUAUUUGGGUUGUUGUGGAUCGUUUGACCAAGAUGGCUCACUUCUUCCCUGUGAAAAUGACGAUAAAAGCUUCUGAACUUGCUCAGUUGUUUGUAGACCGGUUAUUUAGUCUCUAUGGUUUGCCAGGUGACAUUGUGAAUGAUCAGGAUUCCAAGUUCACGUCCAAAUUUUGGCAAACAGUCUUUGAAAAGCUAGAGACUAAGUUGAGCAUGAGUAGUGGUGAGCAUCCACAAUCUAAUGGACAGACAGAACGCAUGAAUCAGCUAUUAGAAGAUAUGCUAAGGUUUUUUGUGGGAAACUUGACUCGACAGAGAGUAUGGGAGAAGUACUUACCUUUACUUCACUUUGCUCAUAAUAGCGCUCAUCAAUCAGCUAUUGGCAUGUCUCCCUUUAUAGCAAUAUAUGGCUAUGAGCCUAAGCCUCUUGUGAGUUUGAAUUUGGCUUUGGUUUGGGUACCUCAUGCUUGUGAUUUUCUAGAGGAUAUGCAAAACAAACUUGAGUUGGCAAAGUUGAACAUAAGGCAAGCUCAAUAACAAGACAAAAGAUUAGCUGAUGAGCAUCAUCGUCAUCAAGAGUACAAAGUUGGUAACAAGGUUUUCCUUAAGCUGUCAGAUGCACAACAGUUUCUGAAAGGAGGUGGCAGUGCUAAGUUGCCUCCAUAGUAUUGUGGAUCUUAGACAAUUUUACAGCGUGUAGGGGAUCUUGCAUACACUUUGGACUUGCUAGUUAAUUCAAAAAUUCAUCCAACAUUCCAUGUGAGUAAGCUUAAAGCGUGUUUGCACUCUGGUGAUAUUGUGGAUCAAUCCAUCAUCCAAGUCCCAAAGAUUGAUGCAAAGAAGGUUGGUCCAACCAAUAUUCUUGCUCAAAGAUUGGUGAAAACACGCCAGAAGACAACUAAAGAGUUGUUAGUUCAAUGGAAUGAUUAUUCCAUGGACGACGCUACAUGGGAAAUUGAGGAUGACAUGAAGAGAGUGUUUCCAAGUUUUGGUUAUAAUUUAGAUGACAUUUUUGAGGAAGGGGAAAAUUGAGUUUUAUAUCCGUAUUGCUAUAUAAUUUGAGCUGUUUGUUCUAUUUUCAUUCUUUUGUUUCUAUGAUUAUAUUGUCAUGUGAAAAAGCUAUAUUGCUUUCUUUCUUUCAUGGCCAUUUGCUGUGACAUUGGUGUUGCCAUUUGCACACCUUUUCUCCAUGGCCAUAUUGCCUUUUGACUCCCUUCAUGUGAGGCUCGUUUAACUUCUUAAGGCUGCCUUAUGUUGCUAGGUCAUCAGAACGACACAAACCACAAGAAUAUUCUGAGAAUAUUCCAUGACCUCUGGGAUUUAAAGCAGCUUGGGCUAGGGUUCACUCUCCUGUUCGUUUCAAUGACAGAUGAGGUAAAUAGGACCAACACGCUUCCAAAUCUUCGAUAAUCUUUCUCUAUCAUUUCAUAGGCUCCAGUUCAAAAGCAAGUGGUCUCUCUUUCCAAUUCCCUGAGCUGCUUAGAGCUGAGAAAAUGCAUCAAAGAAAAAGUCCCUCACGUCCUGUUAGACGUCCGUGACGAGCACCAGUACGCCAUCAGCGCGCUGCCACAGUCGACAAACAUUCCUCUCUCGCAACUCCAGAAGAACAGCCAAGAGCUCCGCGAUAUCAUACUCGACGACGAGAAGAUGCCAGUCUUUGUCAUCUGCUGGAGGGGGAAUAGCUCUCAGGAAGCUGUGGAGCUGCUCAGAAACUCUGGAGUUAACGCCUUGGAUGUCACAGGAGGACUUGAGGCGUGGUCCAGAGAGGUAGACUCCAAGUUUCCUUUGUACUAAAUCGUUUUUUCUCUACAGGAAAGCUCAAGGUCUUGGUUUUCUUAGAAACAAAGCACUUUUUCUUUCGAGAAUCAUCAAAAGUUUCGCCGUUAGGUAAAGAGUUUUGCUUGAGAAAGACUACAAUGGAAGAAAAGUUCAAGCCAACCAAUGGCUAGAACCAACGUAUUUUCCCACAGGGAGUUUGAUCUAUCAAAAACACCAUGGCGGUUGUAUAUAAAUCUAAGCUGCAUCGUCGUCUUGGGCGCUAGAAGCAAGCGCCUAGCAAACAACAGCAACACAAGGCCCCCAAACUGGAAGAAAAAAAAGGAUCAACAAAUGCAAAAAAAAAGGGAAGAGCUUCGAGCGAAGCGAGGCUCCAGAGAUUUUGGAACUAUAAAUUUACCAUCCCUGGAUGAACGACGGGCCUUUGUUGUUCUGAUGAUUCUCCUCCUGCUUAUAUCCCGGCUGUUGGACUGGAUAGCCCGCUGGAGGAUAGCCUUGCGGAGGACAUCCCUGGGGAGGAUAGCCUUGCGGAGGAUACGCUGAAACACCCCAGAUCUCUCAGAUAUCCAGGCAAAGAUCUCGCGAUUUCUCGCGGCGCUUACCUUGACCAUAGCCUUGCGGCGGCGGCGCUUGCACUGGCGGCUUCUGAUCGUAGUAGCUCAUCCUCUCCUGACUCGUUCGUUUUGCUUUCGAUCGUGGUGCGUGUACCCGUUAUAAAGGAGGCCAUAAACGCGGAAUGAUAUUUCCUAGGCUUGACGGACGGUCACUGCUUCGAUAGCAAUGGCUGAUGGAGCGUGGUCAAGACGGCUUCGGC
rnacentral:lncRNA from 1 species